GUGAGGCGUUUUCUCCUAUGCAGUGACUGACAAUGCAUAAGACACACCAAAGCACAACAUAAAUUCACAAAUGACAUCAACUUUAUUUGUUCACUGUACUCCAAAUCUUUAUAAUCCAUAUGUUUGUAAGGAAUAUAUCCAAAUUCUGCACUUUUUCUGGCGAUCUUCAUCUUCAUUCUCAGCAGCGACCUUCAUAGUCAAAGCCGCGCUCGCUAUGAUUCAAAUUUGAAAGUCACGCUGACGAGAACUGUUACGGCAUGGUUUACAGCAUUUAUAUCAAACGCUCAUUGGUUCUCACCUGCUUCAUCACAGAUUGCGACAUGCCGUGUUUCAGUGGAUUGACAUUUGAGUGCUCGCCUUCACGGAAAGAAAGCCGGAUUCAUCAUAUUUUCAUGGACUGCGACUGCAACUCAUCAUCAUUUGAACUAACGUACUUUUGGUACCACUUUUGAUUGUGAUUACGCUUGUCUCUUAUUCUUUUAUUUAUAACUGUACUGUUGUAAAGGAAAGUGCAAGCCAAUCCAGCAGAGGGCGCUAAAAGACUGUAUUAUUGUAUAACUGCCUGAAUUACUCGCGUUCUAAAAAGGAAGUUGUUUUUAGUUUGUAGUGGAGCGGCAAGCAAAAGGAAACCAGCUCUUUAAGUGUUGUUAAUACUGUUAAAAUCUUGCUUUGGUGGAUUUGUGCGUGUAGAAAACUCCAAUCAGAGCUGCUGACGUCACGGCCCUCGUCUGAACCCCUCACUCAGUCACACAGGGGCUUUCAGGUGAAUUAUAUUGUAUAAUUAUAAUUGUAUUGUACAAUAUAUUGUACAAUGUAUAAUUUAUUUAAUGAAACAUUGAAAGCGCAAUACAUCGCUCGAUCUUGGGAAUUCUGACCAGUUCAAUCAAGUGACAUCGCAGCCUGACAGAUGGCGACGACAACUGGGAAUUUAAUGGCCUACGCGAUCCUGAAAGAACCGGAGAAAAGUGCUGCUAUUUGGAGACGCUGUUCUUCACGAGUUUCUGCGGUCACUGCCUCUGUAAGCGGCCAUCAGACGCAAUAAUGAGAAGCUCAUUACAAGCAUCAGAAAAUGGAAUAUAAUGUGUAAUUUGUAUUUGUGUAUUUAGGGUCACCAUUGGUCCAAUAUUUUUUUUUUCUUUAAUGAAAAACAUGGUAAGUCUU